rnacentral:rRNA from 1 species
AUGAACGCUGGCGGCGUGCCUAAUACAUGCAAGUCGAGCGAACAGAUGAAGAGCUUGCUCCUCUGACGUUAGCGGCGGACGGGUGAGUAACACGUGGAUAACCUACCUAUAAGACUGGGAUAACUUCGGGAAACCGGAGCUAAUACCGGAUAAUAUAUUGAACCGCAUGGUUCAAUAGUGAAAGACGGUUUUGCUGUCACUUAUAGAUGGAUCCGCGCCGCAUUAGCUAGUUGGUAAGGUAACGGCUUACCAAGGCAACGAUGCGUAGCCGACCUGAGAGGGUGAUCGGCCACACUGGAACUGAGACACGGUCCAGACUCCUACGGGAGGCAGCAGUAGGGAAUCUUCCGCAAUGGGCGAAAGCCUGACGGAGCAACGCCGCGUGAGUGAUGAAGGUCUUCGGAUCGUAAAACUCUGUUAUUAGGGAAGAACAAAUGUGUAAGUAACUAUGCACGUCUUGACGGUACCUAAUCAGAAAGCCACGGCUAACUACGUG